GACGAACGCUGGCGGCGUGCUUAACACAUGCAAGUCGAACGGAAAGGCCCCUUUGGGGGUACUCGAGUGGCGAACGGGUGAGUAACACGUGAGUAACCUGCCCUUGACUUCGGGAUAACUUCAGGAAACUGGGGCUAAUACCGGAUAGGAAUCCUUGCUGCAUGGUGGGGGUUGGAAAGCUUCGGCGGUUUUGGAUGGACUCGCGGCUUAUCAGCUUGUUGGUGGGGUAGUGGCUUACCAAGGCUUUGACGGGUAGCCGGCCUGAGAGGGCGACCGGCAACAGUGGGACUGAGAUACGGCCCAGACUCCUACGGGAGGCAGCAGUGGGGAAUAUUGCACAAUGGGCGGAAGCCUGAUGCAGCAACGCCGCGUGCGGGAUGACGGCCUUCGGGUUGUAAACCGCUUUCAGCAGGGGCGAAGCUUGUGGUGACGGUACCUGCAGAAGAAGCACCGGCUAACUACGUG
rnacentral:rRNA from 1 species